rnacentral:rRNA from 1 species
UACGUAGGGGGCUAGCGUUGUCCGGAAUCAUUGGGCGUAAAGCGCGUGUAGGCGGUCCGGUAAGUCCGCUGUGAAAGUCGGGGGCUCAACCCUCGGAUGCCGGUGGAUACUGUCGGGCUUGAGUACGGAAGAGGCGAGUGGAAUUCCUGGUGUAGCGGUGAAAUGCGCAGAUAUCAGGAGGAACACCAAUUGCGAAGGCGGCCGGCUGGGGGCGCCCUGACGCUGAGGCGCGAGAGCGUGGGGAGCAAACCGGG